rnacentral:rRNA from 1 species
CAGUAGCCACGGUAAUACAGAGGAUGCAAGUGUUAUCCGGAAUGAUUGGGCGUAAAGCGUCUGUAGGUGGCUUUUCAAGUCUGUUGUCAAAUCCCAGGGCUCAACCCUGGACAGGCGGUGGAAACUACCAAGCUGGAGUACGGAAGGGGCAGAGGGAAUUUCCGGUGGAGCGGUGAAAUGCGUUGAGAUCGGAAAGAACACCAUUGGCGAAAGCACUCUACUGGGCCGACACUGACAUUGAGAGACGAAAGCUAGGGGAGCAAAUGGGAUUAGAUACCCCUGUAGUCCCUGUCUCUUAUAC